ACUGGGAGGCGGGAAGCCGGGAGGCAGGAAGUUGGGAGAGCUGAUGAGGCGGGUGGUGAUUGGUCAGCCGGUUGCCGGGUGGGAGGUGGCUGUGGCUGGGAGGGAAGGCCAGGACGGUAUGUAGAGUGAAAGAUAAGGGAGUCCCUUUGUGGGGGAGGGAAAGAGAGCUUUCACGAUAGGGGCAGAGUUUUCCAAACAGUGACAGUCUUGCUCUGUCACACAGGCUGGAGUGCAGUGGCUUGAUCAUAGCUCACUGUAACCUUAAACUCCUGGGCUCAAGAGAUCCUCCCACCCCAGCCUUCUGAGUAGCUAGAACUACAGGUGUGCAUCACCAUGCCCGGCUAAUUUUUAAAACAUUUUUGUAGAGAUAUGGUUUCACUACGUUGCCCAAGCUGGUCUUAAACUUCUGGACUCAAGUGAUCACCUGCCUUGGCCUCCUAAGGGCCUCGACCUCGGCAUGAGCCACAACCUCCGCUUCCUGGGUUCAGCUGAUUCUCCUGCCUCAGCCUUCUGAGUAGCUGGGACUACAGGAGCUUGCCACCAUAUUUGGCUAAUUUUUGUAUUUUUAGUAGAGACAGGGUUUCACCAUGUUGGCCAGGCUAGUCUGGAACUCCUGAUUUCAAGUGAUCUGUCUGCCUCACCCUCCAAAAGUGCUGGGAUUAGAGGUGUGAGCCACCACGCCUGGCUGUUUUGUUUGUUUUGAGAAAGUGUCUUACUCAACAGGUGCGGCAACUCACACCUGUAAUUCCAGAACUUUGGGAGUCCUAGGCAGGUGGAUCACCUGAGGUAGGGAGAUUCAUCCUGGCUAACACGGUGAAACCCUGUGUCUGCUAAAAAUACAAAAGAUUAGCUGGGCUUGGUGGCACCUGCCUGUUAUCCCAGCUACUUAGGAGGCUGAGGCAGGAGAAUCGCUUGAACCCAGAAGGUGAAGAUUGCAGUGAGCCGAGAUGGUACCAUUGCACUCCAGACUGGGCAACAGAAGCAAAACUUCGUCUCAAAAAAAGAAAGGUUCUUGCUCUGUUGCCCGGGCUGGAAUGCAGUGGUGCAAUCAUAACUCCCUGCAGCCUUGACCCAGGCUCAAUUGGUCCUCCAGCCUCAGCCUUCCAAAUAGUUGGGACCACACACUUGUGCAACCACUCACUGCUAAUUUUUUUUUUUUAAAGACAGAGUUUCACCAUGUUGGUCAGGCUGGUCUUGAACUCCCGACCUCAGGUGAUCUGCCCACCUCGGCCUCCAAAGUGCUUGGAUUACAGGCGUGAGCCGCCACACCCGGCCUCACCGCUAAUUAAAAAAAUUUUUUUUUUUUUGUAGAGAUGGGGACUAACUCCGCCCAGGCUGGGCUGCUGAUUUUUCAAGCCUACAGCUGCAGGUAGCUGCAGAGCGUCAACCUCGUGACUUCCACUUCCAGUGAUACUCUCACUUUGUCACCCAGGCUGGAGUGCAGCAGUGUGAUCUCAGCUCACUACAACUUCUACUUCCCACGUUCAAGUGAUUCUCUUGCCUCAGCCUCCCUAGUAGGUGGACUUGUAAGCAUGUGCCACCACGCCCAGCUAAUUUUUGUAGUUUUAGUAGAGAUAGGGUUUUGCCAUGUUGGCUGGGCUGGUCUUGAACUCCUGACCUCAAGUGAUUCUCCUGCCUCAGCCUCCCAAAGUGCUGGGAUUACAAGAGUGAGCCACCAUGCCUGGCCUUUUAUAUAUUUUCUAUGAGAAACAUAGGUACUUGUAACUUUUAUAAUAUUUAUAAAAGAUAUAAAAAACAAACAUCAUACUUGUUAUGAAAUCAGAGGAGUAAGUGAAGGAAAAUAACUAGCUUAGGGCAGUGGAAAGGGCAGGAAGAGAGGUGGAAGGUAGGAAGACAGCUUUGGAGAGAAUGGCGGCAGUCUGGGUUAUAGAGGCCUAAUAUAAAGUGAUGGGGAUGAGGGAGAGAUUGACAGGUACGAUGACAUGGAGUUGGUGAGUUCUACUUGUGGAGGUGGCCUUGCUGUGGUGACAGCAUGGGGAAUAUGAGCAGCUGAACUGUUGUGCAGGAGGCUGGAACUGGAGAUAAGAUGUGUGCUGAGAUAGCACAGGGAAGUAAGUGGGGGUUGCAGGAAAGAACAAUGAAUACUUUUAUUAUUUAUCUAUUUAUUUAUUUGAGACAGGGUCUCACUCUGUCUCCCAGGCUGGAGGACAGUGGUGCGAUCUCGGUUCGCUAUAACCUCUGCCUCUUGGGUUCAAGUGAUUCUCCUGCCUCAGCCUCCUGAGUAGCUGGGAUUAAGGGUGUGAGCCACUGUGCCCUCCCCAGGUUCUGAAUCAUUUCAAUUCACUGCUGUUAAUUUCGCUUUACACCAAUGCAGCUCUCUAGUGAGUGACUGGAAAUUCAGUUUUAGUGCCCAAGUAUUGUCACCUCCAGCCCCACCCGAAGGAUACCCCACAACUGGGAUGCAUCCUUCAGGUUGUCAUGAAGUUGACCCUAAGGAGUAUGAUUCAUGGAGGUUGUAGAGCUCAUAAAGAAAAGAGUCAAAUGUGGAUAUUAUCUGGGAGUCUUUGGGACACAGGCAUCUCUCAUGGGAGACAGUCUCGUGUCAGAAGGUUCAAUCCUAUGGGACUGCACAGUUAUGCAGCAUCUCAGAGCCACGGCUCCACGUCCCUGUCUUGGCUCUCUCUGGCCCAUCAUUUCCUCCACUUGAAACACUUUCCACCCAUUCUUCUCAAAUGUCACUUUUUUUAGAAAUUCUUCCCACCCCCACACCCUGUCAUCAAAAUGAAUGGUCUUUCCCUAUGGGUUUGUGUUUCCAUUUGUUUAUCUAUUCAAUGAAUCUUUUUUUUUUUUGGAGACAGAGUCUUGCUCUGUCGCCAGGCACUAGACUGGAGUGUAGUGGCGUGAUCUCAGCUCACUGCAACCUCCACCUCCCAGGUUCAAGCAAUUCUCCUGCCUCAGCCUCCCGAGUAGCUGGGACUAUAGGCGCAUGCCACCACACCCAGCUAAUUUUGUAUUUUCAGUCGAGACAGGGUUUCACCAUGUUAGCCAGGAUGGUCUUGAUCUCUUGACCUUGUGAUCCACCCACCUUGGCCUCCCAAAGUGCUGGGAUUACAGGCAUGAGUCACCGCGCCCAGCCUCAAUUAAUACUUUUUUUUUUUUUUGGGACUAAAUCUCACUCUGUGGCUGAGGCUGGAGUGCAGUGGAGUGAUCUCUGCUGACCGCAACCUCCGCCUCUUGGGUUCAGGCAUUUCUCCUGCCUCAGCCUCCCAAGUAGCUGGGAUUACUUGGGAGUCACCAUGGCUGGCUAAUUUUCGCAUUUUUAGUAGAGACAGGGUUUCACCAUGUUGCCCUGGCUGGUCUGGAACUCCUAACCUCCAGUGAUCCUCCCACCUCAGCCUCCUUACAGGUGUGAGCCACUGUGCCUGGCCUCAAUUCAUACUUAAAUUGCCUUUAAGGAGUUUAUGGUCUGGAGUUGGGUGCUAUGCAACACAGUCACUAUGUGUGGUAAUUUAAAUUUUAUUUUUAUUAUUAUUUUUUGAGAUGGAAUUUUGCUCUUGUUGCCCAGGCUGGAGUACAAUGGUGCAAUCUCGGCUCACUACAACCUCCAACUACCGGGUUCAAGCCAUUCUCUUGCCUCAGCCUCUCAAGUAGCUGGGAUUACAGGCAUGCACCACCACACCAGGUUAAUUUUGUAUUUUUAGUAGAGAUGGGGUUUCUCCAUGUUGGUCAGGCUGCUCUUGAACUCCUAACCUCAGGUGAUCCACCUGCCUCAGCCUCCCAAAGUGCUGGGAUUCCAGGCAUGAGCCACUGCACCUGGCCUAAAUUUUAUUUAUUUAUUUGGAAGCUCUGUAAUCCAAGGCUUGAGUGCAGCUGUGCCAUCUCUACUCCCUGAAGACUCUGUCUUUUGGGCUCAAGCAAUCCAAAAUUUUAAUUAAAAUUAAAUAAAAAAUUUUAGGCCAUGCAUGGAGGCUCACACCUGUAAUCCCAGCCCUUUAGGAGGUUAAGGUGGGAUCGUUUGAGGCCAGGAGUUUGAGCCCAGCCUAGACAACAUGGUGAAACCUUGUCUUUACUAAAAUACAAAAAUCAGCCAGGCGUGGUGGUGCACAUCUGUAGUCCCAGCUACUCAGGAGGCUGGGGUAAGAGAAUCACUUUAACCCAGGAGAUGGAGGUUGCAGUGAGCCAAGGGUGUGCCACUGUACCCCAUCUUGGGUGACAGAGUGACACUCUGUCUCAGAACAAAACAAGACAAAGAAAUUGCCUUAGGUGCACCUGCCACAUUUAAAGUGCUCAACAGUCAUAUGUGGCUAGUGGCUACUGUAGUGAACAGCACUCACACAGAAUAACUCCGUUACCAAAAUGCUAUUGGACAGCACUCUACAGGAGAGAAUAGAGACAGACACCACCUGUGUUACACACACACAUAAAAUGGAUUAAGGGAAAUAAGGUAAUAAUAGCGAGAGGGACUGCUUGGCUACUUUAGAUUGAGGGGCCAGUGAAAAGUUCAGGCAGGUAACAUUUAAGCGGGGAUAAAAAUGAAAAGGAGAAAAGUGAAAAUAGUGGGAUGAGGGAAGCUAGACGGAGAACACAGCCAGGAAAAAGGCCGUUGGGUUGAGGCAGAUUGCAAAGAAAGCUCUCAUGGCUGGGGCUGAGUGAGCAGUGGAGAGAGUGGUGGAAGAAAUCUGUGGGGUAGGUCAGAGCCAGAUCACUAGGGCUUCAAUAAUUUGAGUAAAGAUUUAGGAUUUUUUUUUUUUCUGAGAGAGGUAUGAGAGGGUUAUAAGUGGGGAAUGAUGUGGUCUGAUUAUAUAUUUACCUCGUUCCGAUUUCAUUAGUUACUUACCCAUGUCCUGCCCGAUUGCACAAUUCUGGAUUUUUCACAUCCUUAGUAUAUUGAGCCAUGUCCCAUUAGCUCAAUGUAUUAGUACAAGUGGUAGAAGUAGAUUAUGCCAAAUUAAAAAAAAUCUUUUUCUUUUCCCUUAAGAAACAGGGUCUUGCUCCAUCACCCAGGCUAGCAUGCAGUGGCAUGAUCAUAGCCUCCAACUUCUGGGGUCAAGCAAUCCUCCUGCCUCAGCCUCCUGAGUAGCUGGGACUACAGGCAUGUACCACCAGGCCUGGCUAAUUUUUUUGGUUUUUGCAGAGAGUGAGUCUUGCUAUGUUUUUCCCAGGCUGGUAUCAAACUCCUGACCUCAGGUGAUCCGCUCGCCUCGGCCUCCCAGUGUUGGGAUUACAGGCAUAAGCCACUGCGCCCAGCAAGAAAUGAAUUUUUAUUUUUAUUUUUUUGAGAUGAAGUUUUACUCUUGCUUCCCAGGCUGGAGUGCAGUGGCGUGAUCUCUGCUCACUGCAACCUCUGCCUCCCAGGUUCAAGGGAUUCUUGUGCCUCAGCAUCUCAAGGAGCUGGGAUUAUAGGCAACUGCUACCACGCCCAGCUAAUUUUUGUAUUUUUAGUAGAGAUAGGGUUUUGCCAUGUUGGCCAGGCUGGUCUUGAACUCCUGGCCUCAGGUGAUCCACCUGCCUUGGCCUCCCAAACUGCUGGGGUUACAGGCGCGAGCCAGUGCGCCUGGCCAAGAAAUGCAUUUUUAAACGCUGCCAUGCAAAACACUUACAGGCCAAAUUUCAUCUGGGUCACCAGUUAGUAGCAUCAGAUAUCAUGACAGAGUACAGAGGCUGCAGGAGUCCGGGGUUCUCACUCCUCGGUAGCCUGCAGUAUGCCAAGACUAUCCACUUUCCCACGAAGCCUGUCAUAAGCUGCAAGAUAGAGAGCACCACUGCCUCCUUGGAAGUUGCUCAAUUCUUAGACCAGAAGAGGAGUGAAUGAAGUACUAGGCAAGCUUACUCAUGUUUGUAUGGUUUAAUGAUCAAGAGCAGAGUUCAACAGCCAGAUUUAAUGCGUGUGGGUCCUUGACAUAGAGCCUGCUGUAUAAUAACUUCUCCAAAAUCCUUAGCUAGUGCUAUUAGUGCCUAUGUAGGUUUAGUUUUCGAAGUUCUUCCAUGGUUGUUUUUGCUUAUUAUACCAAUCCCCAGUGGGAGAUAGAGGAAGUAUUUUUAGUGCUAUUUUACAACUGAGGAAAUAGGGGUUUGAAGAGGUUCAGGAACUCUCAGGGUCACCCAGCAUUGUGAGUGAGAGAGCUUGGAUCUGAACGUGUUUGCUCCAGUUUCCUGAAGCUUCUGUUUCCUGCAGCAUUCUCUUGAAAUCCCUUGGUAAGGUGCAGUCUGAAUCGUUGUCCAGAGAAUGAAAGGUCAGGUGCAGUGAUUCACAUUCACUCUUAAUUCCUCUUGCUAAUGGCAAACUUGGUAAUGUGACUGUUAAGACUGGGGAUGGGCCGGGCACGGUGGCUCAAGCCUGUAAUCCCAGCACUUUGGGAGGCCGAGGCGGGUGGAUCACGAGGUCAAGAUAUCGAGACUAUCCUGGUCAACAUGGUGAAACCCCGUCUCUACUAAAGAUACAAAAAAGUGGCUAGGCAUGGUGGCGCGUGCCUGUAAUCCCAGCUACUCAGGAGGCUGAGGCAGGAGAAUUGUCUGAACCCAGGAGGCAGAGGUUGCGGUGAGCCGAGAUCGCACCAUUGCACUCCAGCCUGGGUAACAAGAGCGAAACUCUGUCUCAACAACAACAAAAAGACUGGGGAUGAGUUGUGGUGACUGAGCAGGAAGAGCGCCGCGUCCAUCAGAGGCCCAUUUUCCUCAGAAAAGCAAGUGCAUCUCUGCCACUGGAAGACUGGCCUUAGCGCUUGUGCUGCUAUUGAGCCACACGGGUUCUCUGCUUCCAGUUUCCUUUCUGUUCCCCAAUUUCCUGUAUCAGGACCAGGAGUCAGUUUGGAGGCUGUAAGUGGGGAAUAAGCUGGGAAAUCAGGGGCUGUUUCUUCCCUGUCCUUUGGAAGGCACAGAGCUCUCAGCCACAGAAAACUAACAAACAGAGCUCUGAAGCCGUUUUGUGUAUGGUCUUGUCUCAUUCCCAGCAGAGCAGGCUCAUAUAAAUCAUCCAGUCAGGUGAAAAGAGAAGUUGCAAUCUGAGAAUUAAGACUUGAUCGGAUACCAUCUGGUGGGGGGAACCAACCAGUCUGUCUGCUCAUUUUCCUUCAGGUCAGCCCCAUAAUUCCUUCAGGUCAGCAUCCUCAAUUUCCUUCAGGUCAGCAUCCUCAAGUGGUCAUCUUAAGCCUCAUCCUACUUUUUUUUUUAAUUGCAUUUUAGGUUUUGGGGUACAUGUGAAGAACAUGCAAGAUAGUUGCAUAGGUACACAUGUGGCAGUGUGAUUUGCUGCCUUCCUCCCCUUCACCUAUACUGGCAUUUUCCCCCAUGCUAUCUCUCCCCAACUACCCACCCCCCGCUGUCCCUCCCCAUCAUUUUCAGCAAACUGACACAAGCCUCAUCCUACUUCUAGCAGGUAAGUGAGUACACGCCCUCAGCAGGAAGAAGGGAGUAAAGGGGGUCUAGAAGCCAGGAGGAUGGGGUAGGGGAAGGGGAGGGGACGGUGGUGGUGGCUGAAUGUAGAUGUUCUUUGGGCACCAUUGGAUGGCUAGGAGUUAACUAGUGAGCAGGACCAGAAUAAAGUUUUACGCCAAAGAAAUUGCUUAGCUGCUAUGAAUUACAACAUUCAUGGCUAAAUGAACAAGGCAAGAUGCAGCACAGUGUGUCACAUGUGGCCAUUUGUGUUUAAAUAAAAGGAAUGGCUAGAUGUAUAUGCAUAGACACGUAUAUAGGUAAUGGUAACUGUGGGUACUGUGGGAUGGGGGUGGAGGAUGGGAGGUGGAGAGAGAGUUAACCCGCAUUGUAUUCUUUUGUGCCUUUUGAUUUUUUUCAACUACAUUCAAUUCUUUCUCUCUCUCUUCCUCUUUCCUCCCUCCCUCCCUCUCUUUCUUUCUUUCUUCUUUCUCUCCUUCCUUCCUUUCUUCUCACUCCUUCCUUCUUUUCUUCUCUCUCUUUUUUUUU